UGCAAGUCGAACGGUAGCACAGAGAGCUUGCUCUCGGGUGACGAGUGGCGGACGGGUGAGUAAUGUCUGGGAAACUGCCCGAUAGAGGGGGAUAACUACUGGAAACGGUAGCUAAUACCGCAUAACCUCGCAAGAGCAAAGUGGGGGACCUUCGGGCCUCACGCUAUCGGAUGUGCCCAGAUGGGAUUAGCUAGUAGGUGGGGUAACGGCUCACCUAGGCGACGAUCCCUAGCUGGUCUGAGAGGAUGACCAGCCACACUGGAACUGAGACACGGUCCAGACUCCUACGGGAGGCAGCAGUGGGGAAUAUUGCACAAUGGGCGCAAGCCUGAUGCAGCCAUGCCGCGUGUAUGAAGAAGGCCUUCGGGUUGUAAAGUACUUUCAGCGGGGAGGAAGGCGCUGCGGUUAAUAACCGCGGCGAUUGACGUUACCCGCAGAAGAAGCACCGGCUAACUCCGUGCCAGCAGCCGCGGUAAUACGGAGGGUGCAAGCGUUAAUCGGAAUUACUGGGCGUAAAGCGCACGCAGGCGGUCUGUCAAGUCAGAUGUGAAAUCCCCGGGCUUAACCUGGGAACUGCAUUUGAAACUGGCAGGCUAGAGUCUUGUAGAGGGGGGUAGAAUUCCAGGUGUAGCGGUGAAAUGCGUAGAGAUCUGGAGGAAUACCGGUGGCGAAGGCGGCCCCCUGGACAAAGACUGACGCUCAGGUGCGAAAGCGUGCGGAGCAAACAGGAUUAGAUACCCUGGUAGUCCACGCCGUAAACGAUGUCGACUUGGAGGUUGUGCCCUUGAGGCGUGGCUUCCGGAGCUAACGCGUUAAGUCGACCGCCUGGGGAGUACGGCCGCAAGGUUAAAACUCAAAUGAAUUGACGGGGGCCCGCACAAGCGGUGGAGCAUGUGGUUUAAUUCGAUGCAACGCGAAGAACCUUACCUGGCCUUGACAUCCAGAGAACUUAGCAGAGAUGCUUUGGUGCCUUCGGGAACUCUGAGACAGGUGCUGCAUGGCUGUCGUCAGCUCGUGUUGUGAAAUGUUGGGUUAAGUCCCGCAACGAGCGCAACCCUUAUCCUUUGUUGCCAGCGAUUCGGUCGGGAACUCAAAGGAGACUGCCGGUGAUAAACCGGAGGAAGGUGGGGAUGACGUCAAGUCAUCAUGGCCCUUACGGCCAGGGCUACACACGUGCUACAAUGGCGCAUACAAAGAGAAGCGACCUCGCGAGAGCAAGCGGACCUCAUAAAGUGCGUCGUAGUCCGGAUCGGAGUCUGCAACUCGACUCCGUGAAGUCGGAAUCGCUAGUAAUCGUAGAUCAGAAUGCUACGGUGAAUACGUUCCCGGGCCUUGUACACACCGCCCGUCACACCAUGGGAGUGGGUUGCAAAAGAAGUAGGUAGCUUAACCUUCGGGAGGGCGCUUACCACU
rnacentral:rRNA from 1 species